rnacentral:rRNA from 1 species
GACGAACGCUGGCGGCGUGCUUAACACAUGCAAGUCGAACGGAAAGGCCCUGCUUGCAGGGUACUCGAGUGGCGAACGGGUGAGUAACACGUGGGUGAUCUGCCCUGCACUUCGGGAUAAGCCUGGGAAACUGGGUCUAAUACCGGAUAGGAGCCAUUUUUAGUGUGAUGGUUGGAAAGUUUUUUCGGUGUAGGGUGAGCUCGCGGCCUAUCAGCUUGUUGGUGGGGUAAUGGCCUACCAAGGCGGCGACGGGUAGCCGGCCUGAGAGGGUGGACGGCCACAUUGGGGCUGAGAUACGGCCCAGACUCCUACGGGAGGCAGCAGUGGGGAAUAUUGCACAAUGGGCGCAAGCCUGAUGCAGCGACGCCGCGUGGGGGAUGACGGCCUUCGGGUUGUAAACUCCUUUCGCUAGGGACGAAGCUUUUUGUGACGGUACCUAGAUAAGAAGCACCGGCUAACUACGUG